rnacentral:lncRNA from 1 species
UUUUUUUUUUGUUUUUUUGCUUCUUUUUUUUUUUAAAAUAACUAAAAAAAAUAUUUAAUAUUUUAUGGAAUUGAAAUUUUUUUCAUAAUAAAGUGUUUUGGGGGUGAUUUGGGUACGUAUAACAAAAUAUGGUGGUACAGUCUGGGGUGAUUUAGUUGUUUUUUUAAAAAAAAAGCAAAAAAAAAGUCUGGGCAGAAUAAAAUCCGGGCGUCCAAACUGUAACCCGAUAUAUAUAUAUAUAUAUAUAUAUAUAUAUAUAUAUAUAUAUAGAAAAAGUAAAGGUGUACAUGUAUUCAUUUCAAUUCAAUUCCAUCCAUAUUCCAGCUCUAAAGUCAGACUGUAUAGCCUGUCAUGCAUCUUUAUGUAUGUAUGUAUGUAUUGUUAGAAUAUAGGAUCACACACGCGCACAAAUGAUAAAGAAUUAAAAAACACACACAGAGAUUUACGUGGUUCCCCAAUUUGAGUACUCCACAUGCGAUUUGUUGUUUAUUGAUGAUUCCUUGGUUUCAUAGAGUUUUACAAUAGUAUUUAUAGUUACUAAUCCUAUUUUAACCCUAUUUCACAUUAUGUCUCAAUCAAUAAUGACAUUUUCAAAAGUAACUCAGAAAAUCUCUGAUCGCCGACCGGCGCAGCCCGCGCCGCUUCAGACAUUCUAUGGCGCGCCCCGCGCUACAUGGACAGAAACUUCACAGACGCCGGCGCGGGUCACGCUGGGUACAAGAAAUUAAUUAAGUACAUGAAGGACUCAACUCGCUCGUUCUUCACCAAUCCCUUUUUUCUUUUCUUAGAAAAAAGGAGAUAUAUAUUGUAAUGUUCGAAUAAUUGAAGAGUUGAGAUGAAAUAUGGAAGUCGGACACCUGCAGGCUGCAGGUGUGAAUGGAAACGCC